GGCGAAAAUAGGAUUCCAAUCCAUCGUCCUCGACUCCACUUUCUUCCCUCGCUUCCUUCUCUUCACUCUUUCUUGAUCGACAGAAAAACCAAUCAAAUUCAGCUCAUAAGUAUUCUUUUUCUUUAGGUGUCCUUCUUCAAUGGCUUCCUCCAAGCGACUCUCCUUCUCCAAAAGCAACUCCAAGAUCUUUGGAAGAAACCGGUUGAUGGAUUCUCAGCGGAGUUGCUUGAUGACAAUGUUCUUGAAUGGAUUGUUAUAAUUACGGGGCCCCAAAUACUCUCCAGGAUGUAAUUUUAAUUCUUUUUCUUUCUUUUUUAAACAUUCUUUUUUGAUGAUUAAUCAGUUCUAUCAUUGUAGUCCAAUUACAAUGAUGUUUUUGAUUAUGGUGUGGAAUUUUUACUUAGGGAUGAUAAAUCUUAGUAGGAUUAAAGAUUAUCGAUUUGGUUUUGACAUUAAGAAUUUGUUCAAUAUGAUGGAGGAGAGGUGAUUCUGACCUUAAACCUUAACUCUCAUAAGAAUUUGUUCAAUAGGAUUAAAGAUAAUGAGCGGUAGCCUAAGCUUGGGUUGUUAUUUUAUUGAGAUUGCCAUGGAUCCUGUUUCUUGUUUCAUGAUUUUGUAGAUUUUUGUGAUGGGGGCACUUCGAUGCCAUCUUUAGCUUUCCAUCAGAUUACCCAGCAAACCCUCCAACUGUAAGGUUUAUCUCAAAGAUGUGGCAUCCUAAUGGCUGCAAGUGGUGGAACAAGGAUUUUGUCACUUGCACUCCUGGAUCAUGCAUGGUCCAGGGAUGGAGGAUGAAUGCUGAAGGGAUAGGGACAUGGUUGAAAGUAUAUUUCUGGGCAUCAUGUCAAUGCUCUCUAGCCCUGAUGAUGAAAUCCCGCCAAUGAGGAUGCUGCAAUGGAAUGGAGGAAUAGAAGGGAGGAGUUUGAGCAGAAAGUCAAGCAGUGUGUGGUAGCAUCGCUGCAAGAUCAUCAAGCAGCAGAUCAAAGUUAAUAACAUCUAUCCCUAUAAAAAUACCGUGUACUUUCUUCUUGCCGACUGGUGACCAUCAAAGUAUAUCGAACCAUGUUGAAUACCGUAUGUCACAAAAAUAACAUCAAAGUAUGUCACACCACAUUGAUGUGUCA